GUGAGAAGCCCGGGAGACACUGGCACAGCUCCUGGCAACAUCGGGGCAAACCCAAACUGUGUGUCAGCAGAUUUAGGAUGAGGACGGUCUGAAGCAGCCGCUCCUCUUCUUAGGUCUUUGGGGAAAAGCAUGACUGCCAGAGAAUGCUGUGUGCCCUGCGUUAAGACCUGUUAGACGAGGGGACUCUGCUGGGAAUAAGGACAGAGCUUCUCCUUGGAUAGGACUUCCAUGCUGUAGACUUUGACACCUACUCAGCAAACACCCAGGGGAACAGCUGGGAAGAGUCCGGCAGGGGCGUGACAUGGAAACAGGAGACAGGAGAUGUAGGUCUUCCUGAAUCUGGAGAGUGUGGCAUGGAUUCAAGUCUGACGUAAGAUACCAUGAUCGUGUAUAAGAUUUGGAGGAUGUGUUUGUCUGUUCGACCACAUGCUCUCCCCAUUCCUGUUCUGAAACUAGAGUCCCAUGUUUUGUGUGUGAUAUGUGUCGUCAAUCCCCAUCCAUGAGGAGAUCCAGAAGCUUCCUUGCAUUUGCUUCAGAAGCCCCAUCUGUGGAUGUGAGUCAGUAAAGCCAAGGUUCUCGGAAAGGAAAGGCAGUGAUCCUCCCCACCCUGGUAUAAAACAUCUUUAAAGAGG